GAUGAACGCUGGCGGCGUGCCUAAUACAUGCAAGUCGAGCGAACAGGAUAGGUGCUUGCUCCUCUUUCGAUAGCGGCGAACGGGUGAGUAACACGUGGAUAACCUACCUAUAAGCGUGGGAUAACAUCGGGAAACGGAAGCUAAUACCGGAUAAUAACUUGAACCAUAAGGUUUAAUAGUGAAAGACGCUUUUGCUUUCCUCAAAGAUGGUCCCGCGUUGAAUUAGGUAGUUGGUAAGGUAAAGGCUCACCAAGGCAAUCAUACGUAGCCGACCUGAGAGGGGGAUCGGCCACACUGGAACUGAGACACGGUCCAGACUCCUACGGGAGGCAGCAGUAGGGAAUCUUCCGCAAUGGGCGAAGGCCUGACGGAGCAACGCCGCGUGAGUGAGGAAGGUCUUCGGAUCGUAAAACUCUGUUAUUAGGGAAGACCAAAUGUGUAAGUAAAUAUGCACGUCUUGACGGUACCUAAUCAGAAAGCCACGGCUAACUACGUG
rnacentral:rRNA from 1 species